rnacentral:rRNA from 1 species
CGUAUGUCACAAGCGUUAUCCGGAUUUAUUGGGCGUAAAGCGCGUCUAGGUGGUUAUGUAAGUCUGAUGUGAAAUGCAGGGCUCAACUCUGUAUUGCGUUGGAAACUGCACAACUAGAGUACUGGAGAGGUAAGCGGAACUACAAGUGUAGAGGUGAAAUUCGUAGAUAUUUGUAGGAAUGCCGAUGGGGAAGCCAGCUUACUGGACAGAUACUGACGCUAAAGCGCGAAAGCGUGGUAGCAAACAGGAUU